ACAGCAGUUAGGAAUAUUCGGCAAUGGGGGAAACCCUGACCGAGCAAUGCCGCGUGUGAGAUGAAGGUCCUCUGGAUUGUAAAUCACUUUUAUUUGGGAAGAAUUGUAAGUAGAGGAAAUGAUACUUACUUGACGGUACCUUUUGAAUAAGCCCCGGCUAACUACGUGCCAGCAGCCGCGGUAAUACGUAGGGGGCGAGCGUUAUCCGGAUUUAUUGGGCGUAAAGCGUGCGUAGACGGUUUAUUAAGUCCAGAAUUAAAGCCCGAGGCUUAACCUCGGUUCGUUCUGGAUACUGGUAGACUAGAGUAUGGUAGAGGCAAAUGGAAUUCCUAGUGUAGCGGUGGAAUGCGUAGAUAUUAGGAGGAACACCAGUGGCGAAGGCGGUUUGCUGGGCCAUUACUGACGUUGAGGUACGAAAGCGUGGGUAGCAAAUAGGAUUAGAUACCCUAGUAGUCCACGCUGUAAACGAUGAGCACUAAGUGUCGGGUUACCGGUGCUGAAGUUAACACAUUAAGUGCUCCGCCUGAGUAGUACGGUCGCAAGACUGAAACUCAAAGGAAUUGACGGGCACCCGCACAAGCGGUGGAGCAUGCCGUUUAAUUCGAAAAUACGCGAAAAACCUUACCUAGACUUGACAUCCCUGGCAAUGCUAUAGAAAUAUAGCGGAGGUUAUCCGGGUGACAGGUGGUGCAUGGUUGUCGUCAGCUCGUGUCGUGAGAUGUUCAGUUAAGUCUGCUAACGAGCGCAACCCUUGUCAAUAGUUGCUAACAUUUAGUUGAGAACUCUAUUGAGACUGCCGGUAUUAAACCGGAGGAAGGUGGGGAUGACGUCAAAUCAUCAUGCCCCUUACGUCUAGGGCAACAGGCGUGCUACAAUGGCUGGUACAAUGAGUCGCAAAACCGCGAGGUGGAGCUAAUCUCCAAAGCCAGUCUCAGUUCGGAUUGAAGUCUGCAACUCGACUUCAUGAAGCUGAAAUCGCUAGUAAUCCCGGAUCAGAAUGCCGGGGUGAAUACGUUCUCGGGUGUUGUACACACCGCCCGUCACGGCAUGGGAGUCAAUAAUAUCCGAAGCCGGUAGCCUAACCCGCAAGGGAGGGGGCCGUCGAAGAUAGGAUUGAUGACUGGGCUGAAGUCGUAACAAGGUAUCCCUACCGGAAGGUGGGGAUG
rnacentral:rRNA from 1 species